UAUAAAUUAUUUUAGAAGAGAAAUAUGGUUUUGUCUGCAUUGGUAAAUUUAUCUGUGGUUAUCUGUGGUCAUUUCAAUCUAUUAUUAUUCAAGGCGAAUGGUUGUGAGUUUGUAUGAAUGAAUUGAUGCAUUCUCAACAUAUAGGUAACACAAACAGUAAUCAUAUUUGCAUCUCUAAUUUGAUUCUUUUUUUUUUCGGUUGCUUCUAAUUAAAUAGUUAUUUUAAUUUUCUCCUUUAAGUAACAAUCAGUGGUUUGCUUGAAGGAAUGCUAUCAAAUUUUAAUUUCUCUUUAUUUGUUGGUUGGUUGUUGAAGUAUUCAUGAUGGAAUAAAAAUGCUACUACGAAAGGACUCCAAUGAAAGAUCGAUUCUUUAUACGACUUGGUUUAGUUUAUAUGCAAAACAUAUUUUUAUUGAAUAAUGAAACUACAGUGAAUGUUGGAACUUCUGACUUAAUUUCUAUAUCUAGACGAUGAUUUGACUCUGUUUUAUCUACAGAUGUGUGCUAUGUAAAUCUGAUUAUCUUGGUGUUCCAUUAUUUAUCUAUUUUAAUUCAUAUGGACAAGGCUUCCUCCUCACAUAAUUCCAUGAAUAAGAGGCCAUGCUCUUGUAACUUUGUUACUCUUGCAAUUUUCCUCUCUAUGGCUUUCUUUGUUGGGAGCCCUUUUCUUGUUAGUGACUACAAAUAAAUACAUUUAUUUCCUUUUGAUUUUAUCCUAAUGACACCUCAAAUAUUUCUGUCCACUCCUCUAUAAAUUUCAUUUUAACAAAGUUAAUUUGCAACAAGCAACGCAACUUUGAACCAUUAAAUGUACCCUUUAUACUUUCUUUGGUAUAGUACACCAGUGAAACAGUGGUAGGAAUCUGUGUCUUGAUAAAUAAUGAGAACAAAACCUUUUAGCUGAGACUGCUUCCUUAGCUUUGCAGAAAUUACUGGGAUGGGGAAUAACUGAUUCCUUUCAGAGUAAGAAAGGUAAUUUAUCCAAGGUCAUAGUCACUCUUUUCUAAAUCUUUUGGUGUUGAUCAUGUUGUUUCUUUGUAAGCACUUACAUUUCCCUGUUAAUUAUUAUAUCGGUUUAAGAGUCAAUGCUAGCCUUCAAGGAGUGAGCCAUUACCAAUCGGCAUUGUUAACAGCACAAUGAACUUGGAAAUGAGACCACUAUGGAUUGUGAGCAAUCUUCCCAAAGAAAGUUGGGAUAAAGCAAAAGGAAAUUGUUAAUCAAAUUGUUAAAAAGGUAUGUAUUUUUGUCUGGUGGAUGCCUUUUUCUAGCUCUACAAUUCAUGAUUCUUAUCCCUUUUUAUAUGAAUUACUUCUCUGAUUAUUUAUUUCAUUAUUUUUAGUUCUUUCCCAAUGAUUUCACUGACAUGCUUUUCCAUUAUGAUGGUGUUGUUGAUGAAUGGAGAGACUUGCACUGAAGCGAUAAUACAUUGCAUUUUUUUUUUUUUUGCAAUAAAUCAAACCAAGUGGUAGAGGCUUUUCUUUUUUCAUUUUUCUUAAGGUUUGUGUUGCUUGUGUUUACAAUAUGUGCAUGUUUGUUCCUAUAUGUGCACCAUUUAUUUAUUUAUUUAUUUAUUUUGUGAUUAUAGGUGUUUUGCAAAGUAUUUCUUACAUCCAGAUAUUGUUGCCGAGUACAAAUAUAUUUUUCUCUAAGAUGAGGAUCUUGGGGUAGAACAUUUCCGUCUAGGGCAAUAUGUGCAAUUUUGUGGACCAAACCUAAUCUUAAGCCUUGAUUUUAAAGUUUCAUCAAAGAAUGGAGCUUUUCCUAUCGAGUAGUUUCCUACAUACUAUUCCAUAACCUUUAUUUAUUUCUUCGGUGUUUUUUUUAACUUGGUUUUAUUAUUGCAUCCACCUUUUUUAUGCUUAAAUGUUCAAUCCAUGAUCCCCUUAAGUACUUCGUGCUUAUACAUGACCAAUGAUCUUUAAUGCGACAAAGCAUUAUGAUAUGAUUAUCAAGAAGCAUGUUUCACUACUAAAGAUGUGUGUCAUAGGAACUGAGACAUCAUUGGAAUUUUAAUUACUUAAGAAACAUAGUCAACUAUCUGCAGUUAUUUAUCAAUUGUUGAGAGGGUAAGGAUUGGAAAUAUCACAACCGGCAUUGGACACUAGUAAAUUUGAAGUGCAUCAUCAAAUUGUUGCAUGGAGACAAAAAGGCGAUGUUCAUAGGUCUGGUCUUAUUUUCCUUAUGAUUAUGUUGAAUAAUGUCAUUCCUUAUCUGUGUCUGCUUCUAGUCCUAUUGCAGAAGUUUAAGGAUUGUUUCCCCUUGUGUUAUAUAAAUAGAAGGAUGCACAAGUUCAAUGGUGGCGGUAGAUGCUAUGAGAACAGUACCUCUCCUCCAUGUACUGGGUAAGAUUGUGAGACCGAUUAUGAGAGAAAAAAGCCAAUGUGGG